rnacentral:lncRNA from 7 species
AACUAGCGCAAGAACCAGCCAUGCAGAGAAGUGUGCUCCUAUAGUGCAAAACAGAAUCUAUUUAAGAAGACUUAUCACCAUUACCAGUCUAGCUUCUGAUCUCUGAACUGCAGUCAGGACUCAAGUCAGUCUCUCCACAUGGGGAAAAAAGGUACUUAAAAAUGUCAUCUAAACUAUCAACAAGCCUAACUACUCAAUAUAUUCUGCAGACAAAGAACAAGCACAGGAAGUGAUAAAGAAAUCCAAAGAGAAGAUGUGAAAAGCUCAUCUUCAGCGUGACAUCCCUCAGUGACCAGAAUUUUGAGCUGACAAGGACAGAAACUCUUGUCUACCCUAUCCCAACUGCUCACAUUUCCUCUUUGUGCCAGAAUUUUCUUCAGGAACAGUUCAAACAACAUCCAAAGCUCCUCUGUGUGGCCCUUCAGCUCCUUGUCUUAUAGGAUAUGUCUUCUUUGUCCCUGCUGCUCGGAUCUCACCCAGUGGCCUGUGGCAGACUCCUCCUAAACCUGGAAAAUUCUCACAGGAUACAGCUAUGUGUGAGUGGAAUAAAAAGCUGCAAGAGCAUUUCAGCACAUGAGCUCCCUAACUCCCUUCCCUCUCCUCUUUUUUAGCUGCAGUUUCUAGAAAAGGUUUCUUCAAACACAUUUAGGAAGAAAAUGCAACUGAAAAUGGCAAAUACAAAUCCAGGUACAGGAAUGAGAGGCGAAACUGAAAUUCAUGGAUUAUUAAGUCCUGAAGGAAACAAUGAAACAGGAAAAAAACCCUUUCCCUGAGGAUAACAGAUGAAGAGUUGAAGCUCCUUGCAUUCCACUCAAGCCAAAUUUUGGAAGAGGAUUAUAGACGUGGUCAAGAGGGAAAUGUUGGGGAACACUAUCAAGUCUAUCCAUAUAGCACAUUAAAAGACUUUUUCUUCACUUGACUCUGCUAAUCCUGUCAGCCAUUGUUGGUUUUAUGCAUAAUUUUCAGGCCAUGACAGACUUUAAAGAGAAAUGCUCAUAUGAAUUUGAGAAAUUUAUAUGAACUUUUAAUAUUAUCACAAUAGUUUUCUGCAAAACACCAAAGAGUUUCUGUCAGAUACAGUGACAAUUGCAGUUUCCCUUCUAGAUUGUAAACAAAUGUGAUUUUAAAUGAUACCAUCCUAUCCUUUAGACAACUGAUAAAAUUCUUUCCUCACCUCUCAUGUUUCAUUAAGGUGUGUCAUAGGUUUUUUCAAUGCAACAAAAUAAAAAAUCACUACACUGGUAAGAUCAUCAUGGCCAGCUCAUUUAUUUAACCUAUGAAUUUGCAAAAAGAAGAGUAUAAGAGUUCUCAAAAUAUAAAGUCUUACUUAUAAGGACAGUGAAUGAGGAUGGAUUUUACUUUUUAAGGUUACUUUCUGUAUAUAGUCCUUGCUCUGUGUCAUGCCUUGGAGUUGUAGCAGAUUCUCACCCACUGAAAAUGUAAAAUCAGAAAAUAUGUUUUUUUCUCAUCCUGACACAUUAAUUGGUGUUUCCAGUUUACUGGUAUAAUUCCUUUUAUUUCCAAUUAAAGUAAAUGCUAGCAAAAUUAAAUGUCUCAAAGGACGAUACAGUUUGAAACGUACAUCCUUAAUUUAAUGGAGUUGUAAAUGCUUUCACGUUAGACAGGGGAAGGUCAAAUUCUUAAACAUUUCCCUACAUGCACAGCAGAAAUAAAUGCCAUUCUAGUUAAAUCCAGCUAGUCUGAAUUCCUAGAAACUCUUAUAUCUACAUUUAGAAUCUUUUACUGUCUAAUACUGAAAUUUUAUGAAGUACAAAAGUAUUAUCUUUAAUCAUCAUGCCAGAUACUCUUUAUAGCUGUUAAUCGAGAGAUAAUAAACCUGUACAUG